AUACUUACCUGGCAGGGGAGAUACCAUGAUCAAGAAGGUGGUUCACCCAGGGCGAGGCUCAGCCAUUGCACUCCGGUUGUGCUGACCCCUGCGAAUUCCCCAAAUGUGGGAAUCUCGACUGCAUAAUUUCUGGUAGUGGGGACAUAUAAUUUUCGUC
rnacentral:snRNA from 1 species